rnacentral:lncRNA from 1 species
GACUAAAAGAAAAAAGUUCAGUUUAGGGUUUAAAACCCUAAUGCUGAUUGCAUGGAAAAGCUCAGUUUAGGGUUUAAAACCCUAAUGCUGGUUGAAAGGAAAAAUUCAGUUUAGGGUUUAAAACCCUAAUGCUGACUGAAUGGGAAAGAGUUCAGUUUAGGGUUUAAAACCCUAAUGCUGACUGAAUGGGAAAGAGUUCAGUUUAGGGUUUAAAACCCUAAUGCUGAUUAAAGGAAAAUUCAGUUUAGGGUUUAAAACCCUAAUGCUGACUGCAUGGAAAAAUUCAGUUCAGGGUUUAAAACCCUAAUGCUGGCUGAAAGGAAAAAGUUCAGUUUAGGGUUUAAAACCCUAAUGUUGACUAAAGGAAAAAGUUCAGUUUAGGGUUUUAAAACCCUAAUGUUGACUAAAGGAAAAAUUCAGUUCAGGGUUUAAAACCCUAAUGCUGGCUGAAAGGAAAAAGUUCAGUUUAGAGUUUAAAACCCUAAUGCUGACUAAAGGAAAAAUUCAGUUUAGGGUUUAAAACCCUAAUGCUGAUUGCAUGGAAAAGCUCAGUUUGGGGUUUAAAACCCUAAUGCUGGCUGAAAGAAAAAAGUUCAGUUUAGGGUUUAAAACCCUAAUGUUGAUUGCAUGGAAAAGCUCAGUUUAGGGUUUAAAACCCUAAUGCUGGCUGAAUGGAAAAAGUUCAGUUUAGGGUUUAAAACCCUAAUGCUGACUAAAAGGAAAAUUCAGUUUAGGGUUUAAAACCCUAAUGCUGAUUGCAUGGAAAAGCUCAGUUUAGGGUUUAAAACCCUAAUGCUGGCUAAAAGGAAAAUUCAGUUUAGCGUUUAAAACCCUAAUGCUGAUUGCAUGGAAAAGCUCAGUUUAGGGUUUAAAACCCUAAUGCUGACUAAAUGGAAAAAGUUCAGUUUAGGGUUUAAAACACUAAUGCUGACUAAAAGGAAAAUUCAGUUUAGGGUUUAAAACCCUAAUGCUGAUUGCAUGGAAAAGCUCAGUUUAUGGUUUUAAAACCCUAAUGCUGGCUAAAAGGAAAAAGUUCAGUUUAGGGUUUUAAAACCCUAAUGCUGAUGGCUGGGGACAAAAUUCGAGAACAACCACUGACUUCUUUUUUUUUUUU